rnacentral:rRNA from 1 species
CAGUAGCCGCGGGAACACGUAGGUGGCAAGCGUUGUCCGGAAUUAUUGGGCGUAAGGGCUCGCAGGCGGUUUCUUAAGUCUGAUGUGAAAGCCCCCGGCUCAACCGGGGAGGGUCAUUGGAAACUGGGAAACUUGAGUGCAGAAGAGGAGAGUGGAAUUCCACGGGUAGCGGUGAAAUGCGUAGAGAUGUGGAGGAACACCAGUGGCGAAGGCGACUCUCUGGUCUGUAACUGACGCUGAGGAGCGAAAGCGUGGGGAGCGAACAGGAUUAGAUACCCCUGUAGUCCCUGUCCUUAUACAC